AAAAGAAAAGGCCAUCUUUGUGAGAAAAAGACCCUAUCCUUUCAGUGAGUUUCUUUAAACGGCCCACGUUUGAGCUGCUCUUCUCCAAGUGCUAAAGCCACGGCACAUUCUCUUCUCUGUCGUGGAGGACGCGGAUUCUGCAGCAUCCUUCACAGAGAUAAAUAAAAAAAUGCGGGUUGUAGAUCCUCAGAGGAACUUACGCGAAUUUUUUAAAAAGAAAAUAAAACCAGGAUAGAUCCAGCAGGGAACCCAGGUGUUAUCAUUUCAGGGGUGCAAACACUUCGUCCACGCUCUAUCUUACUGUGUGACCUCAGGGAAUGCCUCAUAUCCUGUCUGGGCCUUGGUGUUUUCACCUAUAGACUAGGCCAGGUAAAGGAGAAAUUCCUACACCAUUUUAUAGUCUGCAAAUGGAAUUGGCCUGUAAAAAUAUCACACAGUCCCCUUUCCUGGCGGAUGAUGAUGAAGAGCUGAAUUCUAUCACUCCAUCAGUGGGAUGUGAUGUAGGGUCUCUGAACCAAAGAGCCGGUGCAGCGGUGCCUCGGGGGCGGUUCUGUGCAACUGGAAGAACUUUAGGGUGAUCUCUCUUCCUCCUCCCUCAAUCUCUGUGUCGAAAAGCCCCACAGAGUUUGCUGGUUUUUCAUGCCAAUGAGCCAAUACAUUACAUUGCAUAGAAUUUCCAUUAAUAGUCUGUAGUUUUCAUUUUGGAGACCAAAAAUGUCAGAUUUAGGAGAAUUCCUAUCUGGUCCUGUUGUAUAAUUUGCAUCUACAGAGAUAAGUAUGAAUGUGAGGCGAUUUAAACGUGUCUACCGAGCGCAGGGUAGGAAAUCACUUCCUUCUUUCACAACGCUCACGUCCAAAACUGCCCGUGUCAGUCCACCAGGGGGCGCUGCCUCACCGAAAGGGGAGGGCGGUGCGGCUCCCAUCACUUGACUGACGCCAGCCCAAUGGAAGGCGUGGGCCCCAGGCCACCAGAGCUUUCUCCAGGGGCGUCGUGUUAGCUAUGGCAGGAGAAUAACAUUUUUGAAAAGUGCAAAUACAACAUUUUGAUUUAAAAAUGAUUGUCUAUGAAUACAUAAUUUUCAUAGCUAUAGUAAUAGCAAAUUAUAGCAAAUCCAUUAUAAUAGCAUUCUGAUACAUAUCAAGUUUCAUUAAGUUAAAAAAGAAGUCUGGAAAACAGGGAAAUAUCUGCCUAAAAUAUAGUUGUCCAUCUUGAAAAUGUUCUGUCAGCUCUUUCUCCAGUAAAGUCCAUCAAAAGUAACAGAGCCGGUGGACAGUGCAUAGGAAUCCCGGCUUUUUUAAUCUUAAUGAUGACAUUUGGUUGUGUCUGUGAAAGAGAACACAGCUAGAUUUAAUGCCAUUCUCAGGCCUGCAGAUUCCAAGUUUGAAAUCAUAAAAAUACCAUGAUUUCCCAUAAUUUUAAUGUAUGACAAAAUAUUUACAUGAUACAAAGAAAAACAGGAAUAAUCUACAUGGCUUGUGGGUUGGAACAAUCAGAACAUCUGGAUAUGAAAUGGCUGGAAGAGAAAACCAUUUUCAAAAGCAUACAAAUGAGCAAUAUAUUCCGUACACUCCAACUUGUUCUGAACUUAAACAGUAUCAAAAGUAUGGUUUCCCUUUUGGCAAAUCUUGUAGACAGUUAAAAUAAACAUCUAAGUACUAUUCAAAAAAAGCUAAUUUGUUUGUUACUUUGAAACACAAGUUUUUUCAGGUGUACUCUGUACUUCUUUCUCAUACCAAAUGACUUAAGCUGGGCUCAUGUUUAACUUCAAAGAAUUUAAUAGAAAAUCUAAACUUUGUCUUAUUAGGAUACCACAGAGAACUUAUUUUAGAAAGUUUGGACACGUAGAAGUUUGUUUUUAAUUUUAGUGUCCAACUAAUAUAAAACCAAGGCACUGUUUUUGAAAGUAUUAAAAAUAAGCAUCAUGAAAAAUAUAGGCAGUCUAUCUUUCUUUUUUCCCACAACUUCUGUGACCCAGACAUAUUACCUUUGCCAUCCUGCACAGUUACCUGAGAUUCCUUUCUUCUUGUCUUUUUACUCACCCUGGAUGCUUAUAUUUGUGUGUGUGUGUGUGUGCGUGUGUGUGUGUGUGUGUGUCUAUGGGUGUAGGUGCAUAAGGAAAAGAUCACAUAGCAAAGAAAAAGUAGACUUGGAUUUAUUUCUAGAAUUGGCUUAAAACCUGGAUCUUUAUUUUCCUAAUGUAAAAGAAUUAGACCUAGUGGUCUGCAAUAGUCCUUCCAAAACUCAAACUCACUGGGUCUAUGAAAAUUAAUGUUGUAUAAUCGCGUGACCACUCCCUUGUUCCCUAGAGAUAUGGUGGCAUGCGGUACCAGCAGUAGGCUAGCUCUGGAACAUAGAAGUUGCCUGAUGCAAUCUGGAGAGAGCUUCCAUCUGCACCAUGAGCCCAUGCCAUCUUCUGACUCCUGGAGCUACAGUGAAGAUAUAUUUUGUAUUAAUGCUUAACUUCUUCAUUUCAGUUGCCAUUGAGGUAGCCUAAUAACAUUCAUAAGUAAAUACUGGAUUUUAGUUUGCAAUAGAAAAACCUUCCAUGUAAUAUAAUAUGUCUAUACAAUUAAUAAUUAAUUACUUUGUUAAAAUAUGUAUCUUUAAAUAAAUAAACAUUGGUAGAGACCAUGUUAAGCAUGUCUGAGUUGAAGCUUUCAAAAAAAUAAAGUCUUUUAUUAAAAAUUUUUAAAUAAAAUAGAUUAUAAGGUAG
rnacentral:lncRNA from 1 species